GGGGGCGUGAGCUUCUGCCCGGCUUCGCGUGGGCGCGGCGGCAAUGCGGGAACGCAAGACCGCAGCUAGGGAGUGCUGUCCAGCCCACAUCCAGGAUGAAGUUUAGGAAAAACAAAACAAAAC